CUACGGGUCGCACCAGUGAGGAAUAUUGCACAAUGGGGGGAACCCUGAUGCAGCAACGCCGCGUGGAGGAUGACGCAUUUCGGUGUGUAAACUCCUUUUAUAUGUCAAGAAAAUGACGGUAGCAUAUGAAUAAGCACCGGCUAACUCCGUGCCAGCAGCCGCGGUAAUACGGAGGGUGCAAGCGUUACUCGGAAUCACUGGGCGUAAAGGACGCGUAGGCGGGUUGGAAAGUCAGGUGUGAAAUCCUACAGCUUAACUGUAGAACUGCACUUGAAACUUCUAAUCUAGAGUAUGGGAGGGGGAGAUGGAAUUAGUGGUGUAGGGGUAAAAUCCGUAGAUAUCACUAGGAAUACCUAAAGCGAAGGCGAACUCCUGGAACACUACUGACGCUAAGGCGUGAAAGCGUGGGGAGCAAACAGGAUUAGAUACCCUUGUAGUC
rnacentral:rRNA from 1 species